UGGUGGAGUGAUUUGUCUGGUUAAUUCCGUUAACGAACGAGACCUUGACCUACUAAAUAGUUACGCGAGAUUUUUUUCUCGCGGUCAACUUCUUAGAGGGACUAUUCGUGCCUAGCGAGUGGAAGUUUGAGGCAAUAACA
rnacentral:rRNA from 1 species